AUACGUAGGGGGCGAGCGUUGUCCGGAAUGAUUGGGCGUAAAGGGCGCGUAGGCGGCCCGGUAAGUCUGGAGUGAAAGUCCUGUUUUUAAGAUGGGAAUUGCUUUGGAUACUGUCGGGCUUGAGUGCAGGAGAGGUAAGUGGAAUUCCCAGUGUAGCGGUGAAAUGCGUAGAGAUUGGGAGGAACACCAGUGGCGAAGGCGGCUUACUGGGCCGUAACUGACGCUGAGGCGCGAAAGCGUGGGGAGCGAACAGGAUUAGAUACCCUGGUAGUCCACGCGGUAAACGAUGAAUGCUAGGUGUUGCGGGUAUCGACCCCUGCAGUGCCGGAGUAAACACAAUAAGCAUUCCGCCUGGGGAGUACGGCCGCAAGGUUGAAACUCAAAUGAAUUGGCGGGG
rnacentral:rRNA from 1 species